rnacentral:rRNA from 1 species
CGUAACACGUCAGAGCGGACAGAAGGGAGCUUGCUCCCGGAUGUUAGCGGCGGACGGGUGAGUAACACGUGGGUAACCUGCCUGUAAGACUGGGAUAACUCCGGGAAACCGGAGCUAAUACCGGAUAGUUCCUUGAACCGCAUGGUUCAAGGAUGAAAGACGGUUUCGGCUGUCACUUACAGAUGGACCCGCGGCGCAUUAGCUAGUUGGUGGGGUAAUGGCUCACCAAGGCGACGAUGCGUAGCCGACCUGAGAGGGUGAUCGGCCACACUGGGACUGAGACACGGCCCAGACUCCUACGGGAGGCAGCAGUAGGGAAUCUUCCGCAAUGGACGAAAGUCUGACGGAGCAACGCCGCGUGAGUGAUGAAGGUUUUCGGAUCGUAAAGCUCUGUUGUUAGGGAAGAACAAGUGCGAGAGUAACUGCUCGCACCUUGACGGUACCUAACCAGAAAGCCACGGCUAACUACGUGCCAGCAGCCGCGGUAAUACGUAGGUGGCAAGCGUUGUCCGGAAUUAUUGGGCGUAAAGGGCUCGCAGGCGGUUUCUUAAGUCUGAUGUGAAAGCCCCCGGCUCAACCGGGGAGGGUCAUUGGAAACUGGGAAACUUGAGUGCAGAAGAGGAGAGUGGAAUUCCACGUGUAGCGGUGAAAUGCGUAGAGAUGUGGAGGAACACCAGUGGCGAAGGCGACUCUCUGGUCUGUAACUGACGCUGAGGAGCGAAAGCGUGGGGAGCGAACAGGAUUAGAUACCCUGGUAGUCCACGCCGUAAACGAUGAGUGCUAAGUGUUAGGGGGUUUCCGCCCCUUAGUGCUGCAGCUAACGCAUUAAGCACUCCGCCUGGGGAGUACGGUCGCAAGACUGAAACUCAAAGGAAUUGACGGGGGCCCGCACAAGCGGUGGAGCAUGUGGUUUAAUUCGAAGCAACGCGAAGAACCUUACCAGGUCUUGACAUCCUCUGACAACCCUAGAGAUAGGGCUUUCCCUUCGGGGACAGAGUGACAGGUGGUGCAUGGUUGUCGUCAGCUCGUGUCGUGAGAUGUUGGGUUAAGUCCCGCAACGAGCGCACCCUUGAUCUUAGUUGCCAGCAUUCAUUGGGC